AGCAGCACAGUAACUGUGCACGAGGACACGGCCACAUGCUGCUCUCCGGCCUGCUGUGGGCGUCGGUGGCCUUCAUCCUCUCUGGACCCAGUGUCGCCCUGAAAGUGACCCAAGUCCAGCCACCCACAUCUGGGAGAGAAGGGGAAGUAGCCACGCUUGACUGUGAAUAUGAGACAGAACGGGGCACAGACUACCUUUUCUGGUACAAGCAGCUUCCCAGCGGAGAGCUGACAUUCCUCAUUCAGAGUGCUUCUGGUCAGACUAAAAGGACUGGGCGCUACUCCUUCAGUUUCGCAAAAGCUAACUCUAUGAGUUUCAGCUUCUCAGGUUUACAGAUGGAAGAUUCAGCAAAAUAUUUCUGUGCUAUUCGGGCAAGCACAGUGCUUGAAGUGGCAGUAAAGGCUGAACAAAAACUCAGGAGCUCCACAUGCGACAGGCCCUGGUGCAGAGCCCGGCUAAGACUAGCACCUGUGGCUUCCAGACCAGAACAGAGCACUGUGCUUUCUUAA